UAUUAUUCAGCCAUGACAAAGAAGGAAGUCAUGCUCUCUGUCACAACAAGGCUGGACUGUGAAGGCGUAUGUUAAGUGGAACAAGCCAAAGACAUGCUGCAUGGCCUCGUUUACAUAUGGAAUCUAAAACACAAGCCGAACUGAUAGAAACAGAAUAGAAAAGAGGUUGUGGCAGAGGCUGGGGGGUGAGGGAAGCAGGGGCUUCCUCUACUGAUUGGCUGGCCGGGGGGCCUGGACACACACUGAGGGACCAGAGGACAGGACUCUGGUUGGUGGUGGGGCUUGGGUGGGGUGAAGGCAGCCAGGACAGAGCCUCUGGCUGCAGGAGGGAGUGGCUUCUCCUCUGUGGGCCUCUGAGCAAGUCCCUGUCCCUCUUUGAGCCUCCUCAUCUGGAGAAAGGAGGGUGAUGAUCCUGUGGGGCAGGACUCACAGGGUUGGUGAUGAGGUUCAAGGGAGGGAGGGAGUGUGCUGGAGGUGUGGGAGGAGAACAAGGAUGCCCGUAAUAUGACACUGAGUCCUCAGGAGACCCUGUGAGGUAGGUGGAGUUGUCCUCACAUUUUCCAGAUGAGGAAAUGGGCUCAGGGAGGCCCGGCCAAAGGCCCAAAGCUGCAUAUAGUGCGAGCGCUAGAGCUAGGACUGUUCUGGAAUCAGAGUGCCCUGUAGGACAGAGUAGCACGGAUACCAGCUGACUUGGUAAGAUGACCAGGGUCCAAGGUUAGAAGUUUUGGGGGAACAUGGGGUGAAGGGACAUGGCCUCUCUGACCCCAUCCUUGAACUUGGCAGGAGGGGAGACUGCCAAGUUUGCCGUCCUGGAGACAAGCUUCCAGAGAGCCCACAAGCAGCAGCAGCAGGUUUACUGGGCGAGUUUGACAACAGAGAAGUGGGAGACCCACCAAACUGGCAGGGUGGAGGAAGAGGGCUGGCAUCAAAGACAGCGUCCUGGAGGAGGGGCUGUUUACACCUGUCUCUGAGAACAGGAAUACAAAGUAAUGAGGGAGACCUGGCUGCUUCAGAGGGCUGCUAAUCAUUACAAUCUAGAGCCUGAGGAACAAUUUGGAGCCUGUUUUCAGUAUAUGGAGCAACUCAGUGAGGAUGAAGGCUACAACUGGUCCUACCAGCUGGAGCUCUGGUCCUAGAUGCCAGCAGAACACUCAAGGCCGAGAGGGGCUGACCACCAUAGAGCUCAGCGGCGAAUGGGUGUCCAGGCUACUGUGGCUGAAUCCUAGGGGCUCCAGCUACCAGGCCUCCGAAACAGAGUGCAGUACCAGUGGCGGAUCACACUUCUGAGACCAGCUCAAGUAAGGCAGCAGCAGGGACACAGCGGGGGCUCUCAUAGGCACUGGGUCAGCCCCUCCUCUGAGGUGAAGAACACAGUGAGCCUUUCUGUGGGGUCUCCUGAAGGGCAGAAUAAAAGAUGACCCUGCUCCAUCCAGCUGCUCUUCUCUAAGGCCUAUUUACCUAUUGUGGAGGGGUACCGUUUAUUUGUUGUGAGCAGUAAAUGCUGGAUUUGAAUAUUAUUAUACUAAAAUCCUAUUUCUUUUACAGAUUGAGUGAGUGAUUUUGUUCUUUCACUUUCUAUGCUAAUUUAAAUGA